CUUCGGCAGAGAGAGCAUCUGUGAGCCAAAUUCACCGGUGCUGGGUUUUAAGAUUGUAUUACUGGUGAAGAUUGUGGUGAGAGAGAAAUUUUAAGGAAUAAUUUAUUGAAAAAGCCACAAGGAGAAGAGCCAAGAGUGACACGUGGAGGAGUCCCAGAGGCUUAGUGGUAUAGAUCCACUGUCUCUUUUGGGCAUUUAAUUUAUGAUUUAUAAUGUGUUAUAUUGCCAAUAUUAGGGCUUUUUGUUUAUUGUCAAUUAUAUGAAUAUAUAAAUGUAAUCAUGCCUUUCAAACUAUUUCUAUUUUUAGUACAAUUUGGAUGACUGUAAUUUUAAUAUUUGGUUUACUUUGGAUUGGUUAAAAUGGCAUGAUUAUAAGGCCAAAUAACUGGUUUGUGUUG